UGCCUCUUUCAUUGAUCUUGGUGUCCUCA
rnacentral:piRNA from 1 species